AGGUGUGCAUGGCGUAAGGGAUAACUGUGAUGGCUGUGCGUCCAGGGGGGUAUUCCAGAAAGCAGGUUAUGUGACAUACCUGGGUAUGUUUAAGGGGAUUCCAAAUGUAAUUGGGUGCAUUGAUGGCACUCACAUUCCUAUUAAAGCUCCACCAAUAAAUGAGGGAGACUGUGUUAAUAGGAAAUCUAUUCAUAGUAUCAAUGUGCAGGACAGUACAAUGGUUACUUGCUGGGGGACAGAGGAUACCCUUGUCUGCCCUAUUUAAUGACACCCUACUCUGAACCUGAGCCU